AUGCGUUUUUGCAUAAACGCAUGUUAUUUUGUUUUCGAGAAAGGCACUGUGUUUGGUUUGGUACUUGUAAAAUAUGUGUUCAGCUAUUAUUUGAGUCGAGAAAGGCACUGUGUUUGGUUUAAUACUAGUAAAAUAUGUGUUCAGCUAUUAUUUGAG